AUGUACUUGUUGGCUUUGAUUUGAGAUGUCCAAGAACAUUGGUUCGUGUUGUGGUUGGAUUGAUUUUUUAUUUUUAUUAUUAUUAUUUUUUAUAAUCGAUUAGCUUUAAUUAUGGUUUACCUUCUUAAUACCCUAGCAUAUCUAUCCCUAGUGCACCUUACUCUCAAACCAGGUUGGUGCUUAACUAUCGAGCUUAGUAGGAUACCGGCUUGGGCAAUUGCCUAAGUGCAAUAUGUAUGAGCUAAUGGGUACAAGAAGACUGCCACACACUAUUUGUUGAGUGGUAGCUAGUUUGCUGAAAUAUAAGAUUAGAGAAGCUACUGUGAGUGUAAGCUGCUGCACCAAAGGAAAUCAGAGCGUGUAACUUAUUAGGUAUAGUAGUAGAUACAGUAAUCUAUAGAGGCUACUGAAUUCCUAAAGCCUAUAAGAAAAUUACUAGGUUUAAUUAGGGUUUUCUUUAAGUUUUUCCACAAAAACCUACCCAAAAAAAAAACACCUCUAAGUGGUAUCACGACUACUAUGCCUUAAUUUCUUCGCCUUUAAAAAAAAGGUUACAGAUCCAUGGAGAGUUUUCUCUGUAUGGCAAGUACAAACUUGUGAAUGCGUCUGUGUCUUGUGAUUGGGUGAUCAGAUUAUUUUCCUUGUUGGUUAUGAUGCCCAGUGUAAGUGACCUGGAACAAAGGUUGGUCAAUAUUACAGACCUUCCUUUCAACCUGCUUGGUUGCUUGACAUCCUUGAUUUCUGUAAGUGCAUCUAUAAUAGCUUCUGCAAAUUAAUACACACCAUCAAUUAGUUUUCCCGUAAAGAACAUAUGUUAAUGACUUUCAUUAAACAAAAUUUUGUAUUGGCUAUCUCAUUAAAAACCUGCUCUGUUGCUUGACAUCUUUUAUUUUUGUAAGUGCAUCUAUAAUAGCUUCUGCAAAUUAGUACACACCAUCAAUUAGAUUUCCCUUAAAGAACAUAUGUUAAUGACUAAUUUUCAUUAACUAAAAUUUUGUAUUAGCUAUCUAAUUAAGAACCUCUAUAUAUGAAGCAUGAUAUACAGUAUUAUAUAUAUAUAUGGAUGCUUUGUUUUGAAGGGCUUGAUAGGCAUAUAUGCAUAUAUAUAUAUAUAUAUAUAUAUAUUCCAACCAAACCUUGAGAGUUUGGUUUUCUGGAUGUUCUUCUGCCCAUACUCCUCCAUUAGUAACCAUCAUCAUGUGGAGAAUAAGUGAUUUGAAUAAAUGAUUUUAGUCCAUGAAUUCAUGCUCUUCCUGUAAUUGAAAGAAAAGAAAUUACAAAUAGCCACACAUGCAAUGUUGUACUCUAGUCUUAAUUACUGUAUAUCCAAGUGCUCCUCCAUGAAAUAUAUUCAUAUAACUAAGGCAGCAAGGCAUCAAAGAUGAUCCUUAAAAAAAAUUCACAAUUCUUUUUUUAACAAAAUCCAGUUGCAGCUGGGAAUGCAGGUUCUUCAUGUGGUAUUGCCUUGGCAAGGGAGAGCAUAAUAAUAUAUAAAGUGUGUUACAGUGUUAGUGUGAAGUUCAACAGAGAUUUGGUGAGAUGUGAGAUUUUAUGAAUGAAUGAAUGGACGUGUUAUCAUAUCAUAUACUUUCUUUAACAGAGAAGGAUUUAGUUUGACACAGAGUGGACAUUGGAAUCUUGGAUGGAUGAUGUGUAUAACAUAGUGUAGAGGGUGUAUUGAUUAAGGAAUAUGAAUGAAUGAUGUUUUGAUUUAUCUGUAAAUGAGUAUGGAGUGUAGAGGACUCUGGAAAUCUGUGACUCAUGUGAAUGUUCAGUGUUGUUUUGAUUUCUUUUUUUUCUAAAAAAUUUGGUUUGAAAAUGCAAUGAAUCAUGGACAGCAAUGAGAGGUUUUUGUCCUGCAAAUGAGUAGUCUUUCUAACCUUAGAUAAGUAGCUUCUUCUGAUUCCCCUUCUCUCUCAGUUAGCCUUUUCUCAUGGUGCUAUUUAUGUUGUUUUUUGUUCUUUUUGUUCAUGCUUGGUGUUAUCUUCAGUACCUCCAAGGUCUGCGGUGGAAAAUUUUGUAGGGUUCGUUUAUUAAUUUGUUUUAUUUUUCAUCUUUGGCUGGAUAGACUCAGUUUAUUUUAGAAGUCCAGAAUCAUUGAUUAAUGGUGUAUUUCAGUUGAUAUCUAUGAUUCGAACUGUUGUCUUUGCUUCUUUGUAGGAUAUUGCUUUGUGGAUGAUCUAAAACAGGAGUAUGAAAUGAGAUAUUUUUGUCUGUCAGUGUAUUUGACAUUUAUCUGUUUUGUCACUUGGUUUGCUGCAUCAUGUAGGUAAGCUUAUGUGGGUUGCUUCUUUGUAGGAUGUUACUUUGUGGAUGAUCUAAGAUGGAAGGGAGCAUGAAAUGAGAUAUUUGUUUUGUCUAUUUGUGUAUUUGACAUAUUUAUGUUUUGUAACUUGGUUUGCUGCGUCAUGUAGGUAGGUUAUGUAGGUUGCAGAAAGUAAUUUGUAUAAUGCAUUGAUCUGGUAAAGGCAAUGACUUAAAGCUUUUUGUCACCACCAAGGAUUCAAAAGGUUGUUGAUGGAUCUUGUGCUUUCUCAGGAUCUGCAUGUUUUCUUUUUACCAUAAGGUGGUUGCUCGAUUCUGUUCGGGCACAUUGACUAAGGAUACUUGAAUAAACUGCAAGAGACAGCAAUCAAGGCAUUUACAUUUGCUGAUAAAUACCGAGGAAAAUACAGUGACUCCCUUUCCUCAGUUGUCUGUCCCUUCUUUUGCUCAUACUCUGGUUUUGAAGUAAGGAUUAAUUAAGUUACUUGUUUGUUGAUUUGCUAGGAACUAGUUUGAUAACAAAGAGUAAGACUAGCAUGUUGAUGUUUGAUCAUUAGGAAGAACUUUUAUGGGGAGCUGCAUAGCUUUAUAAGGCUACACAGAACUCUUAUCUUAAACUUUGUCAAGUCUCUCAGUGUUAAUAAUCAAAAUUCAGAUACUUUUAGUUGGGAUGACAAAGUACCUGGUGCUCGUGUGCUUCUAGCAAGGGAAGUAUAUAUAUGUGUGUGUGUAUGUUUUCUUUGUAUUAUUUUUAGUGUUUUUUUUUUAAAUGAAAAUGUGAAAAUGUAGAAUUACUUGGUUGAGAAACAUGAAGUAACUGCAGAAUAUAGAAAGAGAGCAGAGAGGUAUUUUUGCAGUGUGCUGCCAAGUUCUUCAUCAAUGAGUGUGAAGUAUACAGCAGUGGGAUUGCUGUAUAAAAUGAGUGGGAGUAAUUUGCAGUAUUUGAAUCACUUAUCACUUAAAAAACACCUAUUUGGAUUUAUUUUAGUAUUGUGAACUUCAGAUGAGCUUGUGCUCUAUCAAAAUUCAUCAACUGAGUCUUCCAUCUUCAAAGCAUUGUUAGCAAUGACUUGUUGAA